GUGAAGAACGUAGCGAAAUGCGAUAAGUAGUGUGAAUUGCAGAAUUCAGUGAAUCAUCGAAUCUUUGAACGCACAUUGCGCCCCAUGGUAUUCCGUGGGGCAUGCCUGUUCGAGCGUCAUUUACCCCCUCAAGCUCCGCUUGGUGUUGGGCGUCUGUCCCGCUUCGCGCGCGGACUCGCCCCAAAGGUAUUGGCAGCGGUCGUGCCAGCUUCUCGCGCAGCACAUUGCGCUUCUCGAGGCACCGGUGGGCCCGCGUCCAUCAAGCUCACCCCCCCAGUUUGACCUCGGAUCAGGUAGGGAUACCCGCUGAACUUAAGCAUAUCAAUAAGCGGAGGA
rnacentral:misc_RNA from 1 species